UUAAUGUUAUUAGCUUUCAUAACAGCAACAGAAGGUGUGCUUUAUACAUAUGAAGGAAAAUCCUGAAAAUGCACUUUAAUAAAAGUGUGUCUCAGGAACUAUCCCCGCUCAUUUAAUAUAAUGGGAGUAUUAUUCUCUUUCAUGGAUCUUAUUUUCCAGUUUUAUCAUUCUUUACUUGGGGAUCAAAAAGAAACCUCCCUGUAUGAUGUGGUGGAUAUGGGCUACUCUGGCUGCCCACGUCCGUUCCCCCUGCUUCUCUUAAUGGCCCUACAAUAGCCUUCCGGGGCGCCACCUCCAUUUCUUCCAGCAGAACAUGAGCUUUGUGGGGAGGAGACACCACUAUCUGCUCCAGAGGAGGGCAAAGAACCUGAACUAUCAGAGGAUUACUUCUCCCUGGCCACAGUGGCUGGUUCAAUAUGAGACUUCUGUUAGGACUUCCAGCUGACCACGAAGCUGGAAAGAAGGAUGGAGUUUCUGCAGCUACUUUGCACUGUAACAGGAAGAUCUGUCCACAGGUAGAGGAAACCAAGCCCAGUGCCUGUGACUGGGGGAGCAGAGGUGGGAGUAACACACUGGAUCCUGGUUGAUGUUGUGCCUGAGGCAGUCAUAACACUGCUCUUUGUAGUUAUGUGAGCCAGUAAGAUCUCUUUGGGCUUAAGCCAAUUUGGGUUAUUUUGUGAUCUGUGACCCGAAGAGCCCUUCGUGAUAAAUGUCACCAAAGUGAGAGCCUGGAUGUCCAGUCCUCAUGAGGACUCUGUGCAGGCCCGAAUGGAGCCACCAGCCUCACCGCCGGCUUACCCCUCCACAUGAAGCCAUAUGCCAUACUGCUCACAGAGUUCUUUCAAUCUCCCAAUCUUGUCUGUGUGUCCUACUGCUGCCGUUCCUAGGAUAAAACAAAUCAGGGCAUUAAAAGGAACAAAUGUUUUCUAAGGCUUUAUACCUUAAACACUUUUAUACACAUUAUCGCCCUAGGAGGGAAGUGACUUAUUAUAUCCCUAUUUUAUUGAGAUUUUCUUUGUGGAAGGACUUAAAAUCAGUGUUUGUGAGUUGACUUAUUACAAGCUUUGAAGAGUAUGUAAUCUCUAUUACAUGUAUCUAAUUAUGUCAUUGAAAUCUUUUAUAUACUUAUUUUCUAUCUACUUGAUCUGCUGACUCAUGAGAAAUAUAUUCAAAUCUCCCACCAAGAUUGUGGUUUGUCAAUAUAUACUUGUGUUACAUCAGACUUUUCCUUUAGCUUUCCUUUAUAUAUUUUAAAGUUAUGUUCACAAGCAUUCAUAACUGUUUUUUUUUUUUUUUUUUUGAGAUGGAGUCUCACACUGUCGCCCAGGCUAGAGUGCAGUGGCAUGAUCUCAACUCUGCAACCUCCACCUCCCAGGUUCAAGCAAUUCUCCUCGCCUCAGCCUCCCAAGUAGGUGGGAUUACAGGCACCGGCCACCACGCCCGGCUAAUUUUUUUGUAUUUUUAGUAGAGACGGGGUUUCACUACGUUGGCCAGGCUGGUCUCGAACUCCUGACCUCGUGAUCCACCUGCCUCGGCCUUCCAAAGUGCUGGGAUUAUAAGCAUGAGCCACCGUGCCCAGCAGGUAUAACUGUUAUUUCUUUUAGGAGAUUACAUCUUUCAUCAAUAUGAAGUCUAUUUUAUCCCACACUAAUAUGGCUAUGGUACUUUCAUUUUGUCAGCAUUUGUCCAAGAUAAACUUUUCCACCUUUUUAUUUUAUCGUCACUUCCUGGAUUAUUUUGAUUUAGAUAUGCCCUUUAUAAAAAUCAUAUAGGUGGGCUGGGCACAGUGGCUCACACCUGUAAUCCCAGCACUCUGGGAGGCCCAGGCGGGUGGAUCACAAGGUCAGGAGAUCGAGACCAUCCUGGCUAACACGGUGAAAUCCUGUCUCUACUAAAAAUACAAAAACAAAAUUAGCAGGGUGUAGUGGUGGGUGCCUAUAGUCCCAGGUACUCGGGGGGCUGAGGCGGGAGAAUGGCGUGAACCCGGGAGGCAGAGCUUGCAGUGAGCUGAGAUCGUGCCACUGCACUCCAGCCUGGGCAACAAAGCGAGACUCCAGCUCAAAAAACAAACAAAACAUAUAGAUGAAUUUGUUUUGUUUCCACCCAGGUUCUUUGUAAUACAGAACAUGCAUUCUGAAGCCAGCUUAAGCAUAUUAAGCACUUUCAGCCGCUCCCUUGGUAAUUGAUUGCACUACAGAUUUUGCUGGGGAGAUCCCUUUUCAGAGAGAGCUUAGUUAAAACGUGGAGUCAGGCAUCCCCCAACCGUCCUCAAUUUCCAGUUAGCAGCAAGCCAACUAAAAAGAUUUCAAACCCUCACCAACGGCCUCAACAAACACAGCUAAAGAAAGUAGUUCUUUUGUAAGGUCUAUGCCAGGAAAAGGGCUGAAAACUUUUCCCCUCAUACCUAAAUCUACCUCAAAUUAAAAAAAAAAAAAAUCUUAACAGACACAUUUAGUUUAGCUGAAACAAGAUCAAAUGUCAAUGCAUGGGCUGUGCCACAGGCUCUUCCAGCAAAAUAAAAGCGUACUGCUGUGUUAGUGCCCGGACCGCAUUCAGAUUCUCUUUUCAUAUUUCUUGGCAACGUCUGGUGACUAACCCUUGACAUGUGUCUUCUGACAUCUGCAACAUAAUCACACUGGCAAGUCACUCAGUCACAUGCAAACUGCAGCCCCUCCAGUUUAUCAUGUGAUUGAAUAUGGGUGAAUUUGUGUUUUUAAACAAUAAGGCAGGAAGUGAUGGUUUUCCUGUUGGCAAUAAAGUGAAUAUUUAUGUGGUUUUUCUAUUUUGUCUUUUUUUUUUUUGAGACAGAGUCUCACCCUGUUGCCCAGGCUCACUGCAAUCUCAGCCUCCUGGAUUCAAGCUAUUCUCCCGCCUCGGCCUCCUAAGUAGCUGGGAUUACAGGUGCCUGCCACCACAACCAGCUAAUUUUUAUAUUUUUAGUACAGACAGGGUUUCGCCAUUUUGGCCAGGCUGGUCUUGAACUCCUGACCUCAGGUGAUCUUCCCGCCUUGGCCUCUCAAAGUGCUGGAAUUACAGGCAUGAGCCACCACACCCAGCCUAAAUAAGCAGUUUUAUUGUAGUAUGAUUUUUUUUUUUUUUUUUUUUUUUUGAGACAGAGUCCCUUUCUGUCACCCAGGCUACAGUGCAGUAGUGCGAUCUUGGCUCACUGCAACCUCCACCUCCCAGGUUCAAGCAAUUCUCCUGCCUCAGCCUCCCAAGUAGCUAGGACUACAGGUGCACACCACCACACCUGGCUAAUUUUUGCAUUUUUAGUAGAGAUGGGGUUUUACCACGUUGGUCAGGCUGGUCUUGAACUCCUGACCUUGUGAUCUGCCUGCCUCAGCCUCCCAAAGUGCUGGGACUACAGGCAUGAGCUGCCAUGCUCGGCCUAUUGUAGUAUGAUUUACAUGCAACAAAACUCACUCAUGUAAGUAUACGGUCCAAUGAGUUUUGACAAAUAUAUAGAGCAUGUAACCAUCAACACAAUCAAGAUUCAGAAUACUUCCAUCAACCCCCAAAUCCCAUCAACCCCAAUAUAAUUACCCUUUCCCUGACUCCUCACUGGCCCUGGAAAAUCCUGAUCUGCUUCUGUCACUGUAGUUUUUUGCCUUUUUUUUUUUUUUUUUUUUUUUUUGAGAUAGGGUCUCACUCUGUCGCCCAGGCUGAAGUGCAGUGGCACAAUCUCGGCUCAUUGCAAGCUCCGCCUCCCAGGUUCACGCCAUUCUCCUGCCUCAGCCUCCCGAGUAGCUGGGACUACAGGUGCCCACCACCACGCCUGGCAAAUUUUAUUUAUUUACUUAUUUAUUUUUUAUAGAGACAGAGUCUCACUGUCACCAAGGCUGGAGUGCAGUGGUGCGAUCUCACCUCACUGCAACCUCUGCCUCCCGAGUUCACGCCAUUCUCCUGCCUCAGCCUCCCAAGUAGCUGGGACUACAGGUGCCCACCACCACACCCAGCUAUUUUUUUUGUAUUUUUAGUGGAAAUGGGAUUUCACCAUGUUAGCCAGGAUGUCUUGAUCUCCUGACCUCAGAAUCUGCCCGCCUCGGCCUCCCAAAGUGCCUGGCCUGACAUAAUAUUUUAAAGAAUUUUUUUUUUUUUUUUUUUUUUUUUUUAAGAAAGGACCUCGCUCUGUCACCCAGGCUGGGGUAUGGUAGCACAAUCUUGGCUCACUGCAACCUCUCUCUCCUGGGUUCAAGCCAACCUCCCACCAAAGCCUCUGGAGUAGCUGGGACUACAGGUACACAUCACCACACCUGGCUAAUGUUUAGUAUUUUUUGUAGAGAUUUCCUAGGGCUUUCGCCAUGUUGCCCAGGCUGGUCUCGAACACCUGAGGGCAAUUGAUCUCGCCGUCUCAGCCUUCUCAAGUGUUGGGAUUACAAGUGUGAGCCACCUGUAAUUUCUCUAGUCUAACAGACAGGUAGUAAUGUCUCACGGUGAUCUUAAUUUGCAUUUCACUAAUGACUAAUGAUGUUAAACAUCUUUUCAAGUGCUAUACAUUUUCAUUUUCUUUGAUGAAGUAUCUGCUCACAUCUGUUGUUCAUUUAAAAAACUGUAUUGUGGGCCGGGCACAGUGGCUCACACCUGUAAUCCCGGCACUUUGGGAGGCCAAGGCAGGCAGAUCACCUAAGGUCAGGAGUUCAAGACCAGCCUGGCCAACACGGUGAAACUCCAUCUCUACUAAAAAUACAAAAAAACUAGCUAGGUGUGGUGGCGCAUGCCUGUAAUCCCAGAUACUCGGGAGGCUAAGGCAGAAGAAUCACUGGAACCCGGGAGGCAGAGGUUGCAGUGAGCCAAGAUCGCACCACUGCACUCUAGUCUGGGCAACAGAAUAAGACUCCAUCUCAAAAAAAAAAAAAAAAAUUGUAUUGCUCGUGUCCUUAUUGAGUUGUAACAGUUCUUUAUAUAUUUUAGAUACAAGUUCUUUGUCAAAUGUUUUGUAGCUUCUGGGGAAAAGAAUGAAAAAGAAAUUUUAAAAGAAGACAGGCCUGGGACAGUGGCUGGCUGGGUGUGGUGGCUCACGCCUGUAAUCCCAUCACUUUGGGAGGCCAAGGCAGGUGGACCACCUGAGGUCAGGAGUUUGAGACCAGCCUGGCCAACAUGGCGAAAUCUCGUCUCUACUAAAAAUAUAAAAAUUAGCCUGGCAUGGUGGCAUGCGCCUGUAAUCCCAGCUACUCAGGAGGCUGAGGCAGGCGGAUCGCUUGAACCUGGGAGGCAUAGGUUGCAGUGAGCCAAGGUCGCACCACUGCACUCCAGCCUGGGCAGCACAGCAAAACUCCAUCUCAAAAACAUAAAAAAUAAAAAUAGAAAAAGACAAAAAAAAAAGAAAUAAGAAAAAAAUGUUUUGCAAAUAUUUCUCCCAGUCUGCAACUUGCCUUUCACCUUCUUAAUAGGGGCUUUCAAACAGCUAAUGCUUUUAAUUUUUGAUAAAGUACAAUUUAUGGUUCACAUAUUUUGUAUCCUAAGAAACGUAACCUAAGGUCACAAAGAUCUACUGUAUUUUCUUCGAGACAUUUUAUUGUCUUAGAUCUAUGCUUAGGUUGAUGAACCAUUUAUAGUUAAUAUUUAUAUAUACAGAGAAUAAGAUAAGGGUUAAGAUUCAGUUUUUUUUCCAUAUGGAUAUCCAAGCUCUAAGACCACUGAUGUAAAAAGAUUGUCCUUUCUCCCUCGAAUUACUCAGGCAUCUGUAAAAACCUGAAAUGUCCAUAUACUUCACAUGAGUCUAUUUCUGAAUUCUCUUUUUUAUUUGGUUAAUCUCACACAAUCUUACUUGCUGCUUUACAGAAGUCUUGAAGUAUGACAAGGUAAGUCUUCCAAUUUUGUUCUUUUUCAAAAUUCUUUGGGCUGUUCCUAGGUCCCUUGUAUUUCUAUAUAAACUUUAGAAUUAGCUCAUCAAGUUCUAUAAGAAAUUGUAGCCUGUUGAGAUUUUAAGAGGUAUCGAGUUGAAUCUACAGAUUAGUUUGGGAAGAACUGACUUAAUACUUAGUCUUCCAACCCAUGUGUAUGGCAUAUCGUUCUUGGGUCUUCUUGAAUUUCUCUCAGUAUCAUUCUUAGUUUUCAAUGUACAGAUCUUGCAUAUAUUUUGUUAAAUUUAUCCAUAAAUUUUUCAUCUUUUUUGAUCCUAUUAUAAAUGACAUUUAAAAUUCAAUUUCCAAUUCUUCUUUGCUGGUAUAUAAAAAUCCAGAAAAUGGUUUAGAUUUGAUCAUUAGUUCCAGUAGCUUUUCUUUAGUUUUCUAUCUAUACAAUCAUGCCUACAAACAAAGUUUUAUUUCUUCCUUUCUAAUCUGUCAGUUUUUUUUUUACCUUAUUGCACUGUCUUAGAUUUCAAGUAUGAUGCUGAAUGAGAUAAGUGGAGCAGCAAGUGGUAGUUGCUCUGCCGCCUAUAAGGUAGAUAUUUAAGUGUGACAUUUUAUGAAUUUUCUUGUUUAAUUUUUACAACAAUCUUACAAUGUCAGUACAAUUAUUUUUAUUUAUUGAGAUGGGGUCUUGCUAUGUUACCCAGGCUGGUAUUGAACUUCUGGGCUUAAGCCAGCAUCUUGCUUGUCUCCUGAGUAGGGCGACUAUAGGCAUGUGCCACCACACCUGGCUUAAAUGUGUCAUUUAAAAAUUCAGGCCAGGCACAGUGGCUCAUGCCUGUAAUCCCAGCGAUUUGGGAGGCUGAGGCAGGCGGACCACCUGAGGUCAGGAGUUCGAGACCAGCCUGGCCAACAUAGUGAAACCCUGUCUCUACUAAAAAUACAAGAAAUUAGCCAGAUGUGGUGGCACGCAGCUGUAAUCCCAGCAAUUCAGGAGGUUGAGGCAGGAGAAACACUUGAACCCGGGAGGCAGAGAUUGCAGUGAGGUGAGAUUGUGCUACUGCACUCCAGCCUGGGCAACAGAGUGAGACUCUGUCUCAAAAAAAUAAAAUAAAAUUCAGUUUAGAACAGGGAAAAGAAGUACAUGAAGGAGAAGAUAGAGAAGCAUUUACAAUCUAAAUGAAAAAGUAUACACACACAUAAAAUAACUUCCAAAACAAACCAACGAUUAAAGAAAAAUCUAACGAGCCAACCUUACUAUUACAGUUUUUGCUACAAUGUGGACAUGGACUAUCUUAAUUAAACAUGUGGUACACACACAUUUCUUAAGACUUUAUCUUUUAUAGGCUGAGGAUGUAGCCUCGCUCCUAUAUAUUCAAAAUGGUAGAUUCAGCAUCAUGCUACCUACCUGCAUUUGCGACAAGCAACAGGGGCAGUCUUCCUCGCUCUAUAUCAUCUUUAAUCAGUUUCUC
rnacentral:lncRNA from 10 species